rfam:Trichobilharzia regenti genome assembly, scaffold: TRE_scaffold0078140
AUCUAGAUGAUGAGUCCCAAAUAGGACGAAAUGUGCAUCCUGGAU